rnacentral:lncRNA from 1 species
GUACACCUUUUCUUCUCUAACACUGUGAAAAUCACUUCUUUUUCCAAGAAACAUAACAUCCUUGGGUGUGAUUUAAUAGAUUCUGUUGAUCAACUUAAAAAUAUGUCAUGCUUGUAUUUAAGAGAACUCGGGAAAAAUGUCAAAUGCUGGCAUGGUGAAACUGCAGGAGCGGCUCGGCAUGGUGGAAAAAUGUGUUUUGAUGCUCAGAGCCAAGAGAGUGCGGCUAAGCCUGUGUUUCCCAGCAUGCAGUGCCAGGCUCAACAUCUGACUGUGGAAGAGCAGAUUAAACGGGACAGGUGCUACAGCGACAGUGAGGCUGACUGAAAAGUCUUUGGCCACUUGCAGUUCAUGCUCGGGCACUGAGGGAGAAUGUUCUCGGAGAAGACCUCGGGAUCAUCGCUAACCUUUUGAUGAGUUUGUAAAGAUCACGUUUCAUAAUCUCACCCUUCACAGCACAUUAUUUCUUGUAUCGCACUCCAUAAUUCUUUUCCACCAUUCACUUGAGACUAGUUUGGAUCUUAAUGAAAUGCUGAGAUGAAACAUGGUGACCGUGUUUUCUUCUCAAAUGGCGCAUGGGCUACGGUUUUCUGUAUCUUAAAGUGGGAGAGAGUCUGCACCGCUGGUGUUCAUCGCCACUCUUAUACCUUCUCUAUAUUUUCUGAUGAAAUAAAAUUUUGUCAACUGAGAUGCAAA